rnacentral:rRNA from 1 species
GUGGGGAAUUUUGCGCAAUGGGGGAAACCCUGACGCAGCAACGCCGCGUGGAGGAUGAAAUCCCUUGGGAUGUAAACUCCUUUCGAUCGGGACGAUAAUGACGGUACCGGAAGAAGAAGCCCCGGCUAACUUCGUGCCAGCAGCCGCGGUAAUACGAGGGGGGCAAGCGUUGUUCGGAAUUAUUGGGCGUAAAGGGUGCGUAGGCGGUUUGAUAAGUCAUCUGUGAAAUCUCUGGGCUCAACCCAGAGUCUGCAGGCGAAACUGUCGGGCUUGAGAGUGGGAGAGGUGAGUGGAAUUUCCGGUGUAGCGGUGAAAUGCGUAGAUAUCGGAAGGAACACCUGUGGCGAAAGCGGCUCACUGGACCAUUUCUGACGCUGAUGCACGAAAGCUAGGGGAGCAAACAGGAUUAGAAACCCCUGUAGUCC